rnacentral:lncRNA from 1 species
GUGGCUUCGCGACUGCGGAAGGUUGCCCGGGCUGGCGCCGCUGGGCAGAGCCGGUGCGACGUUUCCCUUUCCAGCUUUGUUCUUCCGGCCCUGCUGUCUGCCUCCCCGGCUGAUUGGAUUCGUUACUGCUUUGCAACGCGCACCUAACUCCAGACGGGGUCUCACUCUGUCGCCCAGGCUGGAGUGCAGUGGCACAAUCUCAGCUUGCUGUGACCUCAGCUCUCUGCGACCUCUGCUUGCUGGACUCAAGCGAUCCUCCCACCACCUCAGCCUCCUGAGUAGCUGGAACCAUCAUAUGCACCAGCACGCCUGGCUAAGCUGGAAUGCAAUAGCGUGGUCUUGGCUCACUGCAACCUCCGCCUCCCGGGUUCAAGCAAUUCUCCUGCCUCAGCCUCCUAAGUAGCUGGGACUACAGGGGCCCUCCUGCUGCUCCCUCCAUGAGGCUGGUCCUGAAGGAAUAGGCCUGUGGCUCGUCCCUCCUCCCCAUCUCGGCCCUGAGGCAAACAUACCUUCCACAGCUCUGGGAGCACCGCCUCCACCCAGGUCUCACAGGAUGGGACACAAGGAUAGGCAUUAAGCAGGACUUCCAGGGCCCGAGGGAAGUUGGCGCAGUGUUUCAGCAUCUAGGGGUCAAAAGAGGGUCUUGGGCACAUGCCUCCCCCACCCGAGGGCAGACCCAAGUCUUGCCUCACCCACAUGGCCAAUCCUAGCCUAAUCUGGGGGGCUAAGGUCUGAGUCUCUCUUCCCUUUUUUGUGCCUCUGUCUACCCCACCCUCAAGUAUGCUCCAACCUUUUGGCCCCAGUUUUCCUCUGGGGCUCUUCCCUCCCUUGGACUCUCUCUCCCAGAAUCCUCUCUCCCCCUCCCAAGCUGGGGACAGCCCCCUGGCCACUGAGGGCAGGCUUUCAGUCUCUUGGACCCUCUGUCUUCCCCAGAAGCGGAGCAGUUCCAGCCGCGGGCUCCCCCACACAGGAGCCUCCUAUGUCAGGGCCUCCCAGCGCACCUCAGGGCGCACUGGCUGCGCCCCGUAGUCCAGCAGUGCGGCGAAAAGGACUUCAGGCUCCCAGUUGGGGGAGUCCUGGACGGCCUGCAGCGCACAGUCCAUGGGCGUGUGGCCCGCCCCAUUGGGGACCUCAGCGCGGGCCCCGUAACGCAGCAGCAGCUCGGCCAGGCCCCCGCAGCCGUUGGCACAAGCGUUGUGCAGCGGCGUGUGGCGCUUGCGCCCGGCCGCCCGGGCAUCAGCUCCAGCCUCCAGGAGCCGGCGCGCCGCAGCCUGGUGUCGCCUGCAGCUACCUGGGCCCUCGGCCCCAGCGCACGCCGUGUUCAGCGCAGUCUCGCCCUGGCUGGUGCGCAGGCCCACGUCGGCGCCAUGCUCCAGGUACAGAGCCACAUGUUGCUCCAGGCCGCGCGCCGCCGCCACGUGCAGGGGCGUCUCCUGGCUCUCGCCUGCUGCCAGGUUCACCGUCGCUCCUGCUUCCAGCAGCAACUUGGCGCACCUGGGGACAAGAGAGCAAGGUCCUGAGGAAAAUCCUGAAGGCUUGGGACCCCUUCAGCUUGCUGUGACACUCCCUUGCCUUUCCACCCCUCUCAGCUUGAGGUCCUACCUGGUGUCCUCCAUGAGAAUCAUACAAGCCCCGCUACAGACAACAGAAUUGGAAGGUCCUGAGAGCUACCAGAAGCAUCUUCAGUUUUCAUAUGAAAAACUUAAGCCCAGGAGUGAUUUGUGCAGCCAAGGACACACAGCAAGUUAGUGGCUGCACCAGAAAUAGUACUCACUGCCUCAGACAGUCCCUCCCACAGUCUACUCUGUCUCCACCCCAAGGUCUGGUUCUGAAUCAUUCAGUUGUCAGUUGUCUCCUUUUUUUUUUUUUUUUUUGGAGACAGGGUCUCUCUCUGUGGCCCAGGCUGAAGUGCAGUGGUGUGAUUACAGCUCAUGUAGCCUGGACCUCCCAAGCUCAAGCAAUCCUCCUGCCUCUGCCUCCCAAGUAGCUGGGACCACAGGUGGGCAGCACCACACCUGGCUAAUUUUUUAAAUUUUUUUUUAUAGAGACAGGGUCUUACCAUUUGCCCCAGCUGGUCUCAAACCCCUGGGCUCAAGCAAGCCUCCUGCCUUGGCCUCCCAAAGUGCUGGGAUUACAGGUGUGAGCCACCACACCCGGCCUUAUCUCCUAACAUUUUGAUAGCACAAAAUUUUGAAAACCCACUUCUGUGUACGUUAUGAAGCAUAGAAAAUUAAACAGUAUGCACCAAAAAAAAAUAAA